CCUACGGGGGGCAGCAGUGGGGAAUUUUGGACAAUGGGCGCAAGCCUGAUCCAGCCAUGCCGCGUGCGGGAAGAAGGCCUUCGGGUUGUAAACCGCUUUUGUCAGGGAAGAAAUCCUUUGAGCUAACACCUCGGGGGGAUGACGGUACCUGAAGAAUAAGCACCGGCUAACUACGUGCCAGCAGCCGCGGUAAUACGUAGGGUGCGAGCGUUAAUCGGAAUUACUGGGCGUAAAGCGUGCGCAGGCGGUCUUGCAAGACAGGUGUGAAAUCCCCGGGCUUAACCUGGGAACUGCACUUGUGACUGCAAGGCUGGAGUACGGCAGAGGGGGAUGGAAUUCCGCGUGUAGCAGUGAAAUGCGUAGAUAUGCGGAGGAACACCGAUGGCGAAGGCAAUCCCCUGGGCCUGUACUGACGCUCAUGCACGAAAGCGUGGGGAGCAAACAGGAUUAGAUACCCGAGUAGUC
rnacentral:rRNA from 1 species